CCAUCUCCGAUUCCUCCUCGGCGAUUCCUUCUCUCCUCGCCGCAUCCCCGUCCCCGUGCCCUUCUCCAAACUCCACCAUCCCCGUCCCGUACUCCCUCCCUUGGAAAAGAUCAAUUGGAGGAGUAAUUCCGGCUUCAUCCGGUGGUGGCGAUGCCGGAAAAGAUCGAUUUUUUUUGACGGGAGGAGUAAUUCCGGCUUGAUCCGGUGGUGCCGAUGCCGGAUCCUGCGACGGCGCCGACGCGAGCCACCAAGGGCCGUGGACUCCCUCUCCGGCUGCGAUUCCGCCAAACCCUGUCGUCUCGGCGUCCCAGCGACCAUCUCCGAGGCGGAUAAAAUCGUUUCUUUCGGUAGCAGCCCGAGGAGAAGGCCCGGACAAAUCCUCGGAGCAGUAAGCCCGCCGCUCCAGCACCUUUCCUCACCGCCGUCGUCAUCAAGAUCACAAGAGCAGGACUCUUUGGACGGUGCUGAAGAUUGACCGGUUGGAGUCUAUUGAUUUGGGUAUCCAGGAGUAUCCUACUAGUUACACGGAGAAUUGAUUGUCAAGAACUAAUUUGGCGGAUUCACGAGGGAAAUAGGUUUUCUGAAGUUUCUUGGUCCUUACUACAUGGUUCCAAUUACCAGGAGAAGAAAAGUUGGCAGAAUCUGUGGUCAUUAUAUUUUUAUUCAAUUGGAAAGAGUGAAAUGGUUGCAAUAGAAAUCUGCAUUUAAGUCUUCAGCUCUCAUAUUCUUUUUGUGGUUUAUUUAUUUAUACACUCAGAGAGAGGACUGGUUAGCUUAGGCCAUCGGAGUAUCUGUUUGAUUGAUGUGAUGAAUUUCAAUUCUGCCUUGGAGUAUUUAUUUAUUGAGCUUUACCUGUCUUUUUCUCAGGUUCUCUUGGUGGUCGGAAUUUU